rnacentral:tRNA from 2 species
GCCCCCUUAGCUCAACUGGCAGAGCAACUGACUCUUAAUCAGUAGGUUCGAGGUUCGAGUCCUCGAGGGGGCA